rnacentral:rRNA from 1 species
GCGUGGAGGACUGAACUCGUACCCAUUGAAACGGGUUGGGAUGAGCUGUGGAUAGGGGUGAAAGGCCAAACAAACUUAGUGAUAGCUGGUUCUCUUCGAAAUAUAUUUAGGUAUAGCCUCAAGUGAUAAUAAAAGGGGGUAGAGCCCUGAUUGGGCUAGGGCUGCUCGCCGCGGUACCAAACCCUAUCAAACUUCGAAUACCUUUUAUCGUAUCUUGGGAGUCAGGCGGUGGGUGAUAAAAUCAAUCGUCAAAAGGGGAACAACCCAGACUACCAAAUAAGGUCCCUAAGUUCUAUUCUGAGUGGAAAAAGAUGUGUGGCUACUCAAACAACCAGGAGGUUGGCUUAGAAGCAGCCAUCCUUUAAAGAAAGCGUAACAGCUCACUGGUCUAGUGGUCAUGCGCUGAAAAUAUAACGGGGCUAAGAUAGACACCGAAUUUGUAGAUUGUGUUAAACACAGUGGUAGAAGAGCGUUCAUACCAGCGUUGAAGGUAUACCGGUAAGGAGUGCUGGAGCGGUAUGAAGUGAGCAUGCAGGAAUGAGUAACGAUAAGAUAUAUGAGAAUUGUAUCCGCCGUAAAUCUAAGGUUUCCUACGCGAUGGUCGUCAUCGUAGGGUUAGUCGGGUCCUAAGCCGAGUCCGAAAGGGGUAGGUGAUGGCAAAUUGGUUAAUAUUCCAAUACCGACUAUGGAGCGUGAUGGGGGGACGCAUAGGGUUAAGCGAGCUAGCUGAUGGAAGCGCUAGUCUAAGGGCGUAGAUUGGAGGGAAGGCAAAUCCACCUCUGUAUUUGAAACCCAAACAGGCUCUUUGAGUCCUUUUAGGACAAAGGGAGAAUCGCUGAUGCCGUCGUGCCAAGAAAAGCCUCUAAGCAUAUCCAUAGUCGUCCGUACCGCAAACCGACACAGGUAGAUGAGAUGAGUAUUCUAAGGCGCGUGAAAGAACUCUGGUUAAGGAACUCUGCAAACUAGCACCGUAAGUUCGCGAUAAGGUGUGCCACAGCGAUGUGGUCUCAGCAAAGAGUCCCUCCCGACUGUUUACCAAAAACACAGCACUUUGCCAACUCGUAAGAGGAAGUAUAAGGUGUGACGCCUGCCCGGUGCUCGAAGGUUAAGAGGAUGCGUCAGUCGCAAGAUGAAGCGUUGAAUUGAAGCCCGAGUAAACGGCGGCCGUAACUAUAACGGUCCUAAGGUAGCGAAAUUCCUUGUCGGUUAAAUACCGACCUGCAUGAAUGGCGUAACGAGAUGGGAGCUGUCUCAACCAGAGAUUCAGUGAAAUUGUAGUGGAGGUGAAAAUUCCUCCUACCCGCGGCAAGACGGAAAGACCCCGUGGACCUUUACUACAACUUAGCACUGCUAAUGGGAAUAUCAUGCGCAGGAUAGGUGGGAGGCUUUGAAGUAAGGGCUUUGGCUCUUAUGGAGCCAUCCUUGAGAUACCACCCUUGAUGUUUCUGUUAGCUAACUGGCCUGUGUUAUCCACAGGCAGGACAAUGCUUGGUGGGUAGUUUGACUGGGGCGGUCGCCUCCUAAAAAGUAACGGAGGCUUGCAAAGGUUGGCUCAUUGCGGUUGGAAAUCGCAAGUUGAGUGUAAUGGCACAAGCCAGCCUGACUGUAAGACAUACAAGUCAAGCAGAGACGAAAGUCGGUCAUAGUGAUCCGGUGGUUCUGUGUGGAAGGGCCAUCGCUCAAAGGAUAAAAGGUACCCCGGGGAUAACAGGCUGAUCUCCCCCAAGAGCUCACAUCGACGGGGAGGUUUGGCACCUCGAUGUCGGCUCAUCGCAUCCUGGGGCUGGAGCAGGUCCCAAGGGUAUGGCUGUUCGCCAUUUAAAGCGGUACGCGAGCUGGGUUCAGAACGUCGUGAGACAGUUCGGUCCCUAUCUGCCGUGGGCGUAGGAAAGUUGAGGAGAGCUGUCCCUAGUACGAGAGGACCGGGAUGGACGUGUCACUGGUGCACCAGUUGUUCUGCCAAGAGCAUCGCUGGGUAGCUACACACGGAUGUGAUAACUGCUGAAAGCAUCUAAGCAGGAAGCCAACUCCAAGAUAAACUUUCCCUGAAGCUCGCACAAAGACUAUGUGCUUGAUAGGGUAGAUGUGUGAGCGCAGUAAUGCGUUUAGCUGACUACUACUAAUAGAGCGUUUGGCUUGUUUUU